UGCAACAGACAUUUGAUUCAGACCCAAAAAUGAUAUUAAUCAUUUGUUUUUCACCUAGAACAAACGAGAAAUAUCGUUUCAUGGUCCAAAUCGAACAAACUUGAAACCCUAGAAAUUCGCAUUCCUACGAUUUUAGAUUCGAGCCGAUUUGGGGACCUUCAGAGGUCAAAGCCCAUGGAAUUGAGAUGAAGGAGGCCUGGGGAACACUUGGUGUGAAUUUGGGCGAGAUUGGAUAAGUUAAGGUUUUCGCCGAAAAAUUUGAAAUCAACAUUCGAACCACUCGACCGUGAUUCGAGGGAAACCAGGCAUGGAAAUGGAAAGAGGAGGAAGAAAUGAUUCUGUGGUGAAAAUUUUGGGUCAUUUGGAGCUCCGGCGCCAGCGGGGACGAUUUCCGGCGGACGACGAAGCAAUGACGGGGAAGGCGGCGUUACAGGUUGGUACGAGGAUGGAGAAGAUGUA
rnacentral:lncRNA from 1 species